GCCUUCGUGGUGUAGUGGUCAACACGCUCGACGCGUAUUCGAGAGAACCAUGGUUCGAGUCCCGGCGAGGGCA
rfam:Stegodyphus mimosarum contig39349, whole genome shotgun sequence.